rnacentral:rRNA from 1 species
UAGAGUUUGAUUCAUGCUCAGAUUGAACGCUGGCGGCAGGCCUAACACAUGCAAGUCGAGCGGUAGCACAGAGAGCUUGCUCUCGGGUGACGAGCGGCGGACGGGUGAGUAAUGUCUGGGAAACUGCCUGAUGGAGGGGGAUAACUACUGGAAACGGUAGCUAAUACCGCAUAACGUCGCAAGACCAAAGUGGGGGACCUUCGGGCCUCAUGCCAUCAGAUGUGCCCAGAUGGGAUUAGCUAGUAGGUGGGGUAACGGCUCACCUAGGCGACGAUCCCUAGCUGGUCUGAGAGGAUGACCAGCCACACUGGAACUGAGACACGGUCCAGACUCCUACGGGAGGCAGCAGUGGGGAAUAUUGCACAAUGGGCGCAAGCCUGAUGCAGCCAUGCCGCGUGUGUGAAGAAGGCCUUCGGGUUGUAAAGCACUUUCAGCGGGGAGGAAGGCGGUGAGGUUAAUAACCUCAUCGAUAGACGUACCCGCAGAAGAAGCACCGGCUA